rnacentral:rRNA from 1 species
CGGUAAUACGUAGGGUGCGAGCGUUGUCCGGAAUUAUUGGGUUUAAAGGGUGCGUAGGCGGCCUAUUAAGUCAGUGCUGAAAUAUCCCGGCUUAACCGGGAGGGUGGCAUUGAUACUGAUGGGCUUGAGUGGAUUCGAGGUAGGCGGAAUUGACGGUGUAGCGGUGAAAUGCUUAGAUAUCGUCAAGAACACCGAUAGUGUAGACAGCUUACUAGACUUCAACUGACGCUGAGGCACGAAAGUGUGGGGAUCAAAC